CCGAGCGAGGGCUCCGGCCCGACCUCCAACCCAUUGAAGUUACCAACUCUGUUGCCUCGGGGGUGACCCGGCCGCCGCGUCGGGGCCCCCGGAGGACCACACCACUCUGCGUCUCUGCGUCGGAGUUUUGAGGGAAAAUCGCAAGCA
rnacentral:misc_RNA from 1 species